GACGAACGCUGGCGGCGUGCUUAACACAUGCAAGUCGAACGGAAAGGCCCUGCUUUUGUGGGGUGCUCGAGUGGCGAACGGGUGAGUAACACGUGAGUAACCUGCCCUUGACUUUGGGAUAACUUCAGGAAACUGGGGCGAAUACCGGAUAGGAGCUCCUGCUGCAUGGUGGGGGUUGGAAAGGUUCGGCGGGUGGGGAUGGACUCGCGGCUUAUCAGCUUGUUGGUGGGGUAGUGGCUUACCAAGGCUUUGACGGGUAGCCGGCCUGAGAGGGUGACCGGCCACAUUGGGACUGAGAUACGGCCCAGACUCCUACGGGAGGCAGCAGUGGGGAAUAUUGCACAAUGGGCGGAAGCCUGAUGCAGCAACGCCGCGUGCGGGAUGACGGCCUUCGGGGUGUAAACCGCUUUCGCCUGUGACGAAGCGUGAGUGACGGUAAUGGGUAAAGAAGCACCGGCUAACUACGUG
rnacentral:rRNA from 1 species